GAUGAACGCUGGCGGCGUGCCUAAUACAUGCAAGUCGAGCGAACGGACGAGAAGCUUGCUUCUCUGAUGUUAGCGGCGGACGGGUGAGUAACACGUGGAUAACCUACCUAUAAGACUGGGAUAACUUCGGGAAACCGGAGCUAAUACCGGAUAAUAUUUUGAACCGCAUGGUUCAAAAGUGAAAGACGGUCUUGCUGUCACUUAUAGAUGGAUCCGCGCUGCAUUAGCUAGUUGGUAAGGUAACGGCUUACCAAGGCAACGAUGCAUAGCCGACCUGAGAGGGUGAUCGGCCACACUGGAACUGAGACACGGUCCAGACUCCUACGGGAGGCAGCAGUGGGGAAUCUUCCGCAAUGGGCGAAAGCCUGACGGAGCAACGCCGCGUGAGUGAUGAAGGUCUUCGGAUCGUAAAACUCUGUUAUUAGGGAAGAACAUAUGUGUAAGUAACUGUGCACAUCUUGACGGUACCUAAUCAGAAAGCCACGGCUAACUACGU
rnacentral:rRNA from 1 species